rnacentral:rRNA from 1 species
UACGAAGGGUGCAAACGUUGCUCGGAAUUAUUGGGCGUAAAGCGCACGUAGGCGGCUCUGUAAGUCGGAUGUGAAAUCCCUCGGCUUAACCAAGGAAGUGCAUCCGAAACUGCAAGGCUUGAGUACUUAAGAGGAUCGCGGAAUUCCCGGUGUAGAGGUGAAAUUCGUAGAUAUCGGGAAGAACACCGGUGGCGAAGGCGGCUCACUGGCUCAUUACUGACGCUCAGGCGCGAUAGCGUGGGAGCGAUCCGG